GUAGGCAGAGCCCCCGGCCCCGGCUCCCGGGGGCACCACACCUGUUCUCUCCUCCCACAGCACGCAGGGCCCCUCUUCUGUGGCCAGGCCCCCAGGCCCUUGCCCAGCCCUGGAGGGAAACUCCUCUGUCCCUUGAGCCUGCGAGCUUAGCCCAGAACCCCUGCUCCGCCCUCUGCCCUUUCCCACUGUGGCUGGGAAGGGCCACCAGACGGGGACGAGGAGCCACCUCUGCGAGAUCCUUCGUCUGCUUCAUUGGAUCCAAAAGGGGAAAGUGCAGGAGGAAGCCUGGGCCCGACUGCCCACCUGGGCCUGGCUCUGUGGCCUGGCUGGUGUCCACAGGUGAGCCCAGCAGGAGGGUGGGGGAUGGGCAGGGUGCUCAGGCCUGGCCGCGGGCGACCACAUCGGCACCCCUCCAGCCGUUGUUCACCCAGUCACCGUGGGCAGAGCACAUGUGAACCAGGGCCUGAGCUGGUCCCCAGCGGUGGCAGCGAGGUGGGCACUUGGCCCCUGUGUGCUCAGGCCAGACUGGUGUCCGUCUAAGGGCUGCCCAGAAAACCUGCGUGGGGAGCCCAGCGGCACGGGAAGUGCUUUCCUCCAAAGCCGGGUGGCUGCCGUGUUGCUGGGGGUGGGAAGGUGCGGCCCCCAGGGCCAGCAGACGCACAGCAGGCUUUAUCCAGGGAGAUGAGCUUUAUCCAGGCUCAUCCACAUGACGAUUCCUGACCAGAGACCUGCAGAGAGAGUUCAGAGCAGGUGCGUCCCUAACAGUGACACCUGGGUCCCAGAGCGCCUGGGUGGCCAACAGGACCGGGCUGCUCCCGCAGUGCAGAGAGAAACAGCGUGGACGCAGCCUGGAUGGCCUCAGAGGCACUUAGCAGAGUGAGGAAGACAGAAAUCAGACCUUGGGUGCCCAUUAUAGAACCUUCUGGAAAAGACAAAGUUACAGUGGUGAGGACAGACCAGCGGACGUAGGGGGGGACAUCCAGGGACAUUCACGCGAUGGGCUCUUCUGGAUCCCCGGGUGGUGGCACAACUCUGUGCAGGUGUUAAGUCCUUAGACGUGCCCAGUGCAAGAGAGCCAAGGACUCUGUUCACGAUGACCCUCCCUCAGGAGCUCGGAGGAAACCACACUGCCCCGUCGCAGGAGCUGCUGUGUGAACAGUCAUGGCGGCAGAGGAGCUGGACACUGGUGCUGCCCCUGCUGAAGUAGUCCAGACAUGAACGCAGAGAAGGGGAAGCAGAGUCAGCACCCAGGCCCCCGACGACGAUGAUCACAACCGGAAAAGCCCCGACCGGCAGAACCCAGGAAGAAGCCCGUGGUGGCCGAGCCUUGGGGACCGCCCAGCGCUGGGCUCCCGGCCGGCCACUUCACAACUCCUUCCUUCAGGAGACAGAGCUUCAGGUGGUCCAUCCACUGCAGAGCUGCUGGGCCUAGCGACGGCACCCACUGAGCAGAGCAGAGGAGGCCAGGCCAGGCCGUGGCCCUGACCAGGUGGGGCCACAGAGCCUCUGGCUCUUUCCAGAAGAGAAGCCGUGUAGCCGUGUCCUGCAGCCCACCUCGAGAGAAGUGGGACGGCUGAGGGGGGGGUGCGGUAUGGGAGCCCCCAGAGCUCCCCACAGGUGAGGGAGCAGGGACUGCCUGAUCAAGGGACAGGCAGCCGCCUAGUGAGGACCCGGGGACAGCAAGGCGUGUGUGGAAGACAGGGUCUGGUGGCCUGUGGUCUGGCUAGG
rnacentral:lncRNA from 1 species